GUGGGGAAUUUUGGACAAUGGGCGCAAGCCUGAUCCAGCCAUUCCGCGUGCAGGAUGAAGGCCUUCGGGUUGUAAACUGCUUUUGUACGGAACGAAAAGCCUCUGGUUAAUACCCGGGGGUCAUGACGGUACCGUAAGAAUAAGCACCGGCUAACUACGUGCCAGCAGCCGCGGUAAUACGUAGGGUGCGAGCGUUAAUCGGAAUUACUGGGCGUAAAGCGUGCGCAGGCGGUGAUGUAAGACAGUUGUGAAAUCCCCGGGCUCAACCUGGGAGCUGCCUUUGUGACUGCAAGGCUGGAGUGCGGCAGAGGGGGAUGGAAUUCCGCGUGUAGCAGUGAAAUGCGUAGAUAUGCGGAGGAACACCGAUGGCGAAGGCAAUCCCCUGGGCCUGCACUGACGCUCAUGCACGAAAGCGUGGGGAGCAAACAGGAUUAGAAACCCUAGUAGUCC
rnacentral:rRNA from 1 species